UUACCCGCUGAGUUUAAGCA
rnacentral:snRNA from 1 species